GGGAUAGCUCAGUGGUAGAGCAUCUGCUUUGCAUGCAUAAGGUCUUGAAUUCAAUCCCUGGCUUCUCCA